rnacentral:rRNA from 1 species
CCAGACCACCAGCUAAGGUCCCAAAAUAUAUGUUAAGUGGAAAAGGAUGUGGCGUUGCCCAGACAACUAGGAUGUUGGCUUAGAAGCAGCCAUCAUUUAAAGAGUGCGUAAUAGCUCACUAGUCGAGUGACACUGCGCCGAAAAUGUACCGGGGCUAAACAUAUUACCGAAGCUGUGGAUUGUCCUUUGGACAAUGGUAGGAGAGCGUUCUAAGGGCGUUGAAGCAUGAUCGUAAGGACAUGUGGAGCGCUUAGAAGUGAGAAUGCCGGUGUGAGUAGCGAAAGACGGGUGAGAAUCCCGUCCACCGAUUGACUAAGGUUUCCAGAGGAAGGCUCG